AUAUUCGUACGAACAGUUAUAAGUAAUAUGAGCAAGGACUCUUUAAUUUUAACAUAAUUACAUUCAAAUUUUGUUGGACUUUUGAUCACCUGAUGGAGAUCAACCCCCGGGAGUGUAACGUAGAUUAUUAGUUUAAGCGAUAUUUUUGUCGCGAUUAUUUUGUGUUGUUAUUGCCAGUAUAAUUUUCGCGCGUUUUAGAAUAAAUUAAUUACAUAUUCAUAACACACCCCCUUAGGCAAUUAAUUUUCUGUGAGCCACGUGACCAGCUCCGACCAGGGUUUUUCCUUCUCAAGAGGGAAGAGCCUGGGAACGAGGUUGGUCUCAACCAGUAAAAUGCCCAAGAUGGUAGCUCUAAAAACAGAAAACAGAUUAAAAUGAAUCAACCAAACCGAUAAUAUCCUCAUUGGAGUCAGAAUGAAUACUUCAAAUGAUGUAUUCACGCAUCAG